ensembl:misc_RNA
AAGGUUUAAAUCUAUUAUUAUUGUUGUUGUUAUUAGCAGAAGUAGUAGCUAUUUUUGUGAUUAUGGUUACAAUAAAUUCUUAGAAAACAUAGUGGAGCCCUUUAGUAACAGUAACUAUCAUUUAUGGGGCACUCUUUAAUGUGAUAUAUCUAUUAAUUUAUGGUUUAAUUUUCAUAUAUACAUUUUUCUAAUUCCCCCCC